rnacentral:sRNA from 1 species
AUAGUUGGCUGUAUUUCUGGGUUCUCUAUUCUGUUCCAUUGGUCUAUGUGUCUACUUUUAUACCAGUACCACAGGUACACUAAAAUCUCAGACUUCACUAUAUAAUUCAUCCAUGUAACCAAAAACCACUUGUACCCCAAAAGUUACUGAAAUAAAUAUUUUUAAAGAUUUUAAGAAAAUAGAGAGGAAAGAGAAGGAGGCUAUGAAAUUCCAUAAUGGAGUUACAGGUGCUUGACAUAAUUUAGUGGAUAUUGGACUUAGAAGCUUACAUGAAUGAGGCAAACCUGAGAUCUGUGAUAUUUGUAAAUGAAGAUAGGAGUGAACUUACUGCCCUUAGGAAUGGAAGGAGGGAAGGAAGGGAGAAAAUGAGAGAUGCCAUAAAAUCUGUUACUUCAAUGGAUUUGAAGUAAUCCUUUGAAGCAGGCAGUGAGACUUACUUCAUAAAUCCAUACCUUUUUAAUGUGGAUUGGAGAGAAGUUGUUGCACUGUAAUACCUCUGUUGCUACUGGGAGAGUCAUUGCCAGCCACUAUUCUCAUGUCAAGCUGCCCUUGAGGAGGUUUCUCUUGACGCAAUUUAGAAACAACCCAAAACAAGAUUUGUAACUUAGAGGAAGUCUUUGAUUCUGUGACAAGGGGUCUGUGACCCCCUUAAAGGGAUCAAGUACACAGGAGAUAGUACAAGUAGUACUAAAUAGCCAGCUUAAAAAAUUGGAUAGGUGAGAUGAGACAGGGACAGUGGACAGAAUGGCUCUAGGCAUCCCCAAACACCACAUCUGGGAUAAGGAAAUAGUACAAUGGAAAGUCUAUCCUUGGACCUACUAUUUGUCAUUCCCCAGGGCGUGAUAGAAUAUCUAAAAUAAAAAGAGUUGCUUUGGAGAAGGAUUGCAAAAUAUUAUUUCAUAGAAGAGAUUUAGAAGAGGGGAAACUCCCAAUUACAUAAGGUGGGCAUUAUAGCUUCUCAAAACAUUGGUUCCCUAUAUGGGUCAUGGAGAUUGAUCCCAGUGUCAGCCUAUGGCUUACUAGGCCAGUUUAACUGAAAGAUUUAAUGAGCUUGGAGGGAUGCUGCCACCUGCACUCUCACUUCGGUGGGUGUUUAUCACCAGUGAGUGCAGUACCUAAAGGAGCAAAAGGACAAUAAGCACCCAGUGGACAACAGUGUGGCAUUUUGAGUGAAGAUAGCAACUGAAAAGAUCAUGGGCUUGGCUGGAUUGGGCUGGGCUUGUUUUUUAAAAAUAAAAAAAAAGUUUUCUGUCACGAUAAAAGUAACAGGUGAUCAUUGUUAAAAAAUAAAGUGUAAAGUAUGAAUUAAAAAGUAAAUAAUAUGUAUAAUUUUAUAAGCCAGAAAACAAUAAUUUGUACUAUUCAGGUGUAUGUUCUUUCAUUCUUUUUAAAAAUUAUGUAUAUAACACAGUUUUAUAACAAAAUUGACAUCAUAUUGUAUAUAUCGUUGUAUUAUCUAAUUUUUUCAUUUGAAAAUUCACAAGCAUAUUUCCAUGUUAUCGUUCUUUGAAAAAUACAAUAUUAAGUGCUCCAUAAUAUCUUAUGGAUUUAACAAAGUUUAUUUAGAUGAUAUCAUGUUAUUGGACAUUUUGAUUAUUAUCAAGUUUGCUUAUAAAAUUUAAAUGUAAUGAAGAACAUCAUUGUACAUUAACCUUUAUGCACAUCUGUAAUUAUUUCUUUAGAAUAAGGUUCCAGAAUUAAAAUUAUUUGGUUUGGAUGAUGAGAGCAUUUAUUAGAGCAUCUGACAGGUGGUGUUGAGUUUUCCUCAAUACAGUUGUGUAAAUUACAUUCCCACCAGUAGUGUAUAAAUGUGAAUAUCCCUCCAUAUAUUCAUCAAAACAUGGCCUUUCUAAUUUUGUAAAUCUCUGCCAAUUUAAUAGGUAAAAAUAUACCUUUAUUGCUUUAAAAUUUUUAUUUCUAAUUUACACACAGUAAAAUUCACUCUUUUUAGUAUAUGGUUCUGUGGGUUUUGACAAAUGCACAGUCAUGUAUCUUCUACACUAGUACCAUACAGAGAAGUUCUGUCACUUUAAUAAUUUCUCUUGGUGGCUCUUUUUGUAUUCAACCCCUUACCCCAUACUCAAUCUCUGUAAACCAUCAAUUUAUUCUUCAUCCCUAUGGUUUGCCUUUUCCAGAAGGUCAUAUAAGUGGAAUCAAGCAAUAUGUAGCCCUUUUGGUCUGGCUUCUUUCACUUAGUAAAAUGCAGUCAAGAUUCUCCCAUGUUUUGUGGAUAAUUAUUUCAUUCCUUUUUAUUACUGAGUAGUACUUCAUUGUGUGGAUGUACUACAGUUUUAUUAUCCAUUCACUAACUGAGGAACUUGUAAGAUGUUUCUAGUUUUGGUGAAUAUGAACAAAUUUGCUAUAAACUUUCAGGUAUAAGUUUUGUGUGACAUAAAUGCUCAUUUUUAUAGGGUAAAUGCUUUGGAGUGGGAAUGAGUGCCAGACUGUUUUCUAAAGUUUCCCUAGCAUUUUGCAUUCCAAUUACAAAUAUGUGAGAGUUCCAGUAGCUUUGUAUCUUUACCAGUAUUUAGUAAUUUUGUAUUAUACAUAUAUAUGUAUGUAUAUAUAUAUAUUCAUUUAAAUUUGAAUCGUUGUUAGAAUUUGUAAUUCCCUAAUGAUAUAUGGUAUUAUCUUUUAUUUGUUUAUAAUUGACACAUAAUUAUUUAUGGGAUACAUUGUGAUGUUUCAGUACAUGUGUACAUUAUAUAAUGAUCAAAUCAGGAUAUCACCUCAAACCUUAUGAUGAUCUUACAGUUAAAGAUGAUAUAUUCUUGCAAAGUGUCUGUUCAGAUCUUUUGCUCCCCUUUUUAUUGGAUUGUUCCUUUUCUUACUGUUUUUAUAUGUUUUUUAAUAUAUUGAUACAGAUCCUUUGUCAGAUACAUUAUUUGGAAAUAGAUUUUCCUGGUCUGUGACUUGUCUUUUCAUUCUUUGAACACUGCCUUUUUUAGAGCAAAAAUUUUAAUUUUGAUACAAUUCACUUUAUCAGUUUUUUUACUUUUGAUGUGCAAUGUAAGAACACUUGUCUAACCCAAUGUCAUGAAGAUUAUAUAUUAUUUUCAUCCAGGAAUUUUAUAGUUUUAAGUUUUACAUUUAUAUCUAUGAUACUUUUUGAAUAAAGGUUUGUAUAAAGUUUAGCUAUGGGUCAAGUUCAAUUUUUGAAAUAUGGCUAUCUAAUUGUUCUAGUACCAUUUGUUGAAAAGAUUGUUUCUUUUUUAUUGCAUUGCUUUUGCACUUCUGUCAAAAAAUCAAUUGAUUAUAUUUGUUUGGGUCUAAUUCUGGGCUGCCUAUUCUGUUCCAUUGCUGUCCAUUCACAAAUACCACACUUUCCUAAUUAUAGGAAGUCUUAAAAUUAGAUAGUGUGUACAACUUCGUCCAUCUCAAAAAUUGUGUUGAUUACUACUUUGCUUUUCCAGAAAUUUUAGAAUUGUUGCUUUCUAUAAAAAAUUCUGCUAGUAUAUCUGUUGAGUUAGAACUAUAGAUGAAUUUGAAGAAAAUUUACAUCCUCACAAUAUUUUGUCUUUAGGCCACAAACAUGAUUUAGCUGUAUAUUUAUUUUGGUCUUGCUUUUUUUUCCACUUUCAGCAUACAGAUCCUGGACAUAUUUUAUAUUUAUACCAAAUAUUUUAUAUACUUUCUACUGUUGUAAAUGGUAGUGGUUUUUAAAUUUUCAAACAUUCAUUACUAGUAUAUAGAA